GCCUUCGUGGUGUAGUCGUUAGCACGCUCAACGCCUAUUCGAGAGGUCUGUGGUUCGAAUCCCGGGGAGGGCA
rnacentral:tRNA from 1 species